UCGACUCAAAAUUAUGUAUUGUUUACAAAAUUCAUCAAAAAUACAGUUCCAAAAUUAAACCAGUUUCAUACUGGAAUUUACACUAGUUUCAUACAGUUGCAUACUGGAAUUUACACCAGUUCCAAAAUUCAUAACAAAAUGAUACAAAUAGAACAUACAACUUCAUCAAUUAACAACAUCAUCUUUUUUUCAAAUGACAUUAUAAAUGAUACUGUAAUUUACAACAUCACCCAAAUUAGAAAAAUUAACAACAUACAAAACAUUCUUUUCCAUUUUUUUCUUCAGAAUUCAUCAUUUUCUUCAUUUCAAUUUGUAACCUCCUUAUCUUUUGUUUCAGUCCAUCCUUUUGUUCAUUUAAAGACAGUAUCUCCAUUUUUGCCGCAUCAAGGUUAUUUUGAAGCUUCUCCAACCUACUAUUUUGCUUCUUUGUAA